UGGAGAUACACUAUUCAUGAUUAUGCUGUUAUUAACUUGUUAUUAUUAUUGUUCAUGUUAAGAUCAUUAAAUUAAUGGGAACAUGGAGCGACCACCCGGGAAAACAGUGCUACCACAAGGGUAUAAUGGGACGCCCUUGGCUGACUAAUUAGGAAAGCUAGUGGAAGACUACCUUACCCGAAAGGGGCAAGGGCAGUAGGGGAGAGGUCAGUGCGGGGAGGUCCCUGGUUGAUUUUGCUGCGAUGGCUGUCAGCCAGGAACCCUGUACUGGAUCUUCCUAUAAACUGUAGCGGGUUUUCGGAAGCUAGUGGAACUUUGUAAAGGCCUCGUAGUGGAUCCCUAGCCAUUCACCUCGGUAGUGUCUAAGUGCCUUGCAAACCCAGGCGACAUGGGAUACACGACUUGUGGGUAAAGAUGCGCAACCUCUGCAGAGUGUAAAACUAGUAUACUAGCCGUGCUCACGGUCAAGAGCGGCUCGGACCCUCACAUGAUUAAUUAUGGAACUUAAAUUCAAUUUGACAUUUGCAUCGCAUUUGGGAUUAUUUUACUAUUACUGUUCUUUAUUAUUAUUAAGGUUUGGUAUUUACUUACACUUAGUAAUUGCUAAUAAAAUUUUGACCAACUUAUAAAAGCAAUGCUCAGCCUCAACCUCUAUUUCAUUGAUCAGCCUUACACUACAUGAACUCCCACCUUUGGUGAGUUCAUGCCACAUUAUUCCCCACAACUUGUUGAGCUAUGAACGUAUGUGAGCUCACUCUUGCUGUCUCACACCCCCCCCACAGGAGAAGAACAGGUUGUCGAAGAGGAGCCGCCUAACACUGAGGAGUUCGAUCUGAUCUAGGUGGCGUGUCUCGGUCGACAUUGGCGCCGACGAUCCUUAGUUCGCUUUAUCUUUAUUAUUUUAUUUUGUAAUAAGACUUCCGCUAUGUAAUAAGUACUCUGAUGUUUUAUGACAUUUAUCUCUAUACACUCUGUUAUUAUAUAUGUUGUCUUCUUGGCGCAUGUAUGAGAUGCACCCGGUUUUGUCCCUUUAAAACCGGGUGUUACAGAAGUGGUAUCAGAGGAAAUGUUGACUGUAGGACGAAACCUAGAUAGAUAUGGACAACCCUUACUUACUUACCUUACUCUGAUUCAUUCUGUACUUAUCUCAUCUUGAUCCUGUCUCACCUUCUACUGUUCUACUCUGAUCAUUCUUAUCUUUUCUACUCUAAGACAAGACGGAUUUCACACCUUGGAAUCCCUACCCCUAUGACAUUUUUAAGAGAUAGGAAGCCUAAGACAAAAUCAAAACUAUUUUCUAUAUUUAAAAAUGUUAUUUGAUUGUUCUGAUGAUCAAUGUCUGAUUUGCUUCUUUGAUUGAUUGAAAUAGUAUAGACGGGCAUCUUAGCAUGUACCACCAUAAGGUAAUGAAUUAGCUUUAGUAGGUAAAUCACCAAUCUGCUUAGCUAAUAAAUCCCCCAAAGUAACAUGCCUCGUAAUUACAUGCCUUGUCUACAAUCCUUUCUUUCGUACCCUGUGUUUCUAACCCAGAUGGGCUACCCCUAUAGUGUUAGAAGAGAGCACUAUAGACGUGAUCCUUGGUAUGUCAUGGUUAAGAAAGGCAAAGGCAGUUUGUACACUGUGCUAAAGGAACCAUAUAACUCACCAGUUCCAAAGGAGAAAGAUUUGAAGUUGGAAUUGCAGUAAUUACCGCCACCAGACUAGCGGCAUUCUUAGUAGAUGGGAAGUUUGUUGGUGACAACAUCCGUGUGGUUAAGGAUUUUUCGGAUGUCUUUCCAGAGGUGUUACGAGGGAUGCCACCAGAUAGGGAAGUUGAGUUUGUCAUUGAUCCCUUACCUGAGAUUGCCCCUUUUUUCAAAUGGCCAUACAGGAUGUCUGUAGAAGAAUUGAAGGAACUUAAGAAGCAGUUAACUGAGUUACAAGAUGCUGGGUACAUUCGUCCGAGUUCCUCACCUUGGGGAGCACCGGUCUUGUUUGUACAGAAGAAGGAUGGAUCGCAGCGGAUGUGUGUGGAUUAUAGAUCUCUUAAUGAUGUUACGGUGAAGAACAAGUAUCCAUUGCCCCGUAUUGAGGAUUUAUUUGAUCAGAUGAGAGGUGCAAGAGUAUUUUCGAAGAUUGAUCUCCGAUCGGGUUACCAUCAGAUGAGGAUUAGACCAUCGGAUAUUCCCAAGACGGCUUUCUCGACUCGAUAUGGAUUAUAUGAGUUUACUGUUAUGUCGUUUGGAUUAACCAAUGCACCAGCUUAUUUUAUGAACUUGAUGAACAAAGUGUUUAUGGAGUAUUUGGACAGAUUCGUCAUGGUAUUCAUCGACGAUAUUCUCAUUUAUUCUCAGAGUGAUAAUGAUCAUGAGGAACAUCUGAGGUUGGUGCUACAGAAGUUACGAGAUAAUCAACUCUAUGCUAAGUUCAGCAAGUGCGAGUUUUGGAUUGACAGGGUGCCAUUCCUUGGUCAUAUUAUUUCUAAUGGAGGAAUAGCUGUGGAUCCUGCUAAAGUAAAGGAGAUAAUGGAGUGGAGAGUGCCCACUACAGUUACGGAGAUUCGGAGUUUCUUGGGACUCGCAGGAUAUUAUCGGAGAUUUAUUGAAGGAUUUUCUAAGAUUGCUAAGCCCAUGACAUCGCUUUUGGAGAAAGGAAGAGAAUUUAAGUGGGAUGAGAAAUGCCAAGAGAGUUUUGAUCAAUUGAAGGAGAGAUUGAUGUCACCUCCAGUAUUGAUUAUGCCAGAUCUGCAGAAGGGAUUUGACAUUUACUGUGAUGCAUGUGGCCAAGGACUUGGAUGUGUGCUCAUGCAAGAAGGACAUGUGAUUGCCUAUGCAUCUCGUCAGUUGCGGAAGCAUGAAUUGAACUACCCCACCCAUGACUUAGAGUUGGCUGCCGUUGUGCAUGCACUUAAGAUUUGGAGACACUACAUUAUGGGAACUAAGUGCCAAGUAUACACGGACCAUAAGAGUUUGAAGUAUAUAUUCACUCAGAAGGAUCUCAACCUGAGGCAACGCCGUUGGUUGGAGCUCAUUAAGGAUUAUGACUUGGAGAUUCACUAUCACCCAGGCAAGGCGAAUUUGGUUGCAGAUGCCUUGAGUCGGAAGGAGCAUGUUCACUCCGCUUUCGUUGUCCAGCUACCUGAUGAAUUAGCAAAGGAUUUUGAGAGGCUCAACCUGGGAAUUGUUACACAUACGGAAGGAGUUACUAUUGAAUUGGAACCUACCUUGGAGCAAGAAAUUCGUAAAGGUCAGGUUGGUGAUGCCAAAAUCCAGGAGAUCAAGGAUCUGAUAACAGAGGGUAGAGGCCCAGAGUUCACAGAGGAUGAGCAAGGCACGAUAUGGUUCAAGAAUCGGAUCUGUGUUCCCGAUAUCGAUAGUCUUCGGGAAACCAUAUUGAAGGAGGCACAUGAUUCAGUUUAUUCUAUCCACCCUGGGAGCACUAAGAUGUAUCAGGAUUUAAAGCAAAAGUAUUGGUGGUAUGGACUAAAGAGAGAUGUGGCUGCACAUGUGGCUAUGUGCGAUGUGUGUCGAAGAGUUAAGGCUGAACACCAGAGGCCAGCCGGACUACUGCACCCACUAAAGAUACCUGAGUGGAAAUGGGAAGAGAUUGGCAUGGACUUCAUUGUUGGAUUACCCCGCACGUCUGCUGGUUAUGAUUCUAUAUGGGUGAUUGUGGACAGGCUAACCAAGGUAGCCCACUUUAUUCCAGUAAAGACCACGUAUUCAGGAGCCAAGUUAGCAGAGUUGUACAUGGCACGGAUUGUCUACCUACAUGGUGUGCCAAAGAAGAUUGUGUCAGACCGGGGACCACAGUUUACCUCUCGAUAUUGGAAGAAGUUGCACGAGUCAUUGGAUACGAGAUUGAAUUUUAGUUCGGCUUACCAUCCACAGACUGAUGGGCAGACUGAGAGGACUAACCAAGUACUGGAAGAUAUGUUAAGAGCUUGUGCUCUUAAGCAUGGUGGUAGUUGGGAUAAGAGUCUACCGUAUGCGGAGUUCUCAUAUAAUAAUAGCUAUCAGGCCAGCUUGAAGAUGUCACCGUUUGAGGCUUUGUAUGGCAGAAAGUGCAGGACUCCCUUGUAUUGGAAUCAAACUGGUGAAAGGCAGUUGUUUGGACCUGAGAUUAUACAAGAAGCAGAGGAACAAGUUCAGCAAAUAAGGGAGAAUUUGAGAACUGCACAAUCCAGGCAGAAAAGUUAUGCUGAUACCCGGAGAAGACUGCUUGAGUUUAAAGAGGGAGAUUAUGUCUAUUUGAAGGUGUCACCACUCCGGGGCAUGAGAAGGUUCAAAGUCAAAGGAAAGUUGUCCCCUCGCUUUAUUGGACCCUUCUUAAUCUUAAAGCGAGUGGGAGAGGUUGCAUACCAAUUGGAGUUACCGGAUCAUCUCGUGGAUGUUCACGAUGUCUUUCAUGUAUCUCAGCUGAAGAAAUGUCUCAGGGUGCCUGAAGAACAGUUACCAAUGGAGGACCUUAGUGUUCAAGAGGAUUUGACUUAUGCUGAGUACCCCGUCAAGAUUUUAGAUACUUUGACUCGAGUUACGAGGAAUAAGGUCAUAAAGAUGUGCAAAGUGCAGUGGAGUCACCACGGUCAAGAUGAAGCAACGUGGGAAAGAGAAGAAGAGCUUCGUAUAGAUUUUCCCCACCUUUUCUCUAGAUCUUCUUAAAUCUCGAGGACGAGAUUAUUUGUAAGGGGGGUAGGAUUUGUAACACCCACUUUGUAAUUGCUAGGAAUAUUACCAGUAGAGGAACAACUUCUCUUUAUGUGAGUUUGAUCUUUAUGCAUCAUCAUAUGUGAACACCAUGUCCAAAAACAAUUAAUAAAGAAAGAUGCUACUAAAUCAUUGCAUCAUGCUGAAUAUUUUAUUUGUGUGUGCAUUCUUGUGAUAAUAUCAUAAUAAUGCAAAAAAAAAGAAAUAGGUGAAUAUCCAAAUGGGGAUUUAAAUCCUAAAUAAUCCUAGAAUUAAGAAAAGAGAGAAGGAGGAGGAUUAUACAAAAUAGAGGAAAAUAAAUGUAUGAAAGAAUAUAUUUUGUCCCCACUAAUAUUUUAAUUUAAGAACUUAACUCAGUUAAGAAGCUCAAAAACAAGUUUGAAUUCAAAUUAGUAUUAAAAUUUGAAUUUGUGAAAGAAGGGAGAAAGAAGAAAAUAUAAAAGAAAAAGGAAAAGGAAUACUAUACCUGAUGGGCCGCCAACCUGGAAUUCGGCCCACUAUCUAUUCUGACCCGCGCGCCCACCAGGCAUCACGACGCCGACAACAAGGGCCCACCCGUCAGCCAAACUCCGCGCGCGUAGCUCCUCUGUUGCGCUGACAGCUUGGACCCAGUGGUCGGUCACCCUGGGAUCGGUAACAGCUCGCGCGAGAUCCAUGGCGGGGAGCGCGCACCGAUCGGGCGAAGCUCGGACCCCGUCCAACCACCCUAGCCCUCGAUCCAACCCCGGUCGACCACAUAAAGCUCCUUCUCCCACCGGUCCGCGCAACUCGUCGCCCAUAUCGUGUGCCACCAUCGCCGUGAGCAGAGAGAAGAGAGAGUGACCCGCCGUAGGCGAAUCCGGGCGUGCCGACGACCGUGCUCGGGGUAAGGAACCCAGGGGCUCCUUUCGGACGUGUUGAAGGUGGCCGCAACCGAAUUUCAGAAGACAAGCCACCGGCGGCACCGGAAUUUGUCGCCGUCGACUCAACACCGCCGCAGACUCGCAAUCCGUCGUGGUCAGCUCGGUGUCCACCACCAUCCUCGGUGAGUUCUCCUUCCCAUGUUUCGCUUGAAUCUCUAGCACGUUUAGAGUAGCUCGGAAUUGGCCUAGGUGCGUUAGUUCGCGUGGCCACUGCCGAUGGCAUGGGCGCCGCCGCGGCACGCCGGGGGCCGGGUCCUACACUCGACCUCAGCCAAAAUUAGUUGUAGCAUUGAGUUCUGGGAGUCAUCAAUUGUACGUGGGAUGAGUGAAUCGGGUUAUGGCGUUCGUACUGGCCGGAUUCGGGAUCUCCGGCGGGCGGACCGCCGUGAACGGGCGCGCGCCGCCGUGCUCCUCCAUCGGAGGUAGGAGAUGGCCUUUGGUCCGUUGGAUCGUGAACAGAGGGCUACGAUUAGAUCGGGUGUACCGCUUCGGUGCGUGAAAUCGGGACCGUUAGAUCGCGAUCGGGUGGUGCAGGUGAGAUCGGAGCGCAUUAAAUCCACACCGUCGAAUCUGGAUCCUGUGCCCCUGAUUGCUUACCGAUUCGCAGCGUGCUUAUCUAAUCUGGGCCGUUCGGAUCUAAUCCAACGGCCGAGACUCGCCCGUACCCCUUCGCGGGUCAACUUUUCUAAAGAGACCCUCACCUCUCUGGAAAUCAACCCGCAGUCCAUUGGCCACUGUUCACUGAGUCUAGAAUUUUAUUCGCGCAGACCCCUGCACUUCUCAGUAUUUGACGCCCAGUCCAGUGAUCGUUUUAAUUGAAUAAAUAAAAUAGAAAAUAGAUUUUUAAUAUGAAAAUAAUUGCUAGAACUUUGAUAAUUCAUAGAAAAUUCAUAUGAGCUCCAAAUUGGUCCAUUCCAGUUCCUAAAUUUUUGUAAUAAUAUUGUCUGCGCAUUUGUGCCUCUGUUUUGGCAUGAAAGGCUCAUUUAAAUUUAUCUAAUACUUAAUCUUGUAUUAAAUACAUAAAAGCUACAUAAAUUCAUAACUUGAAAUAUAUAACUCCAAAUUUAGUGAUUCCAGUCCCUAUGGUUUCAUUUUGAUAUGUAGAUUUUUACUGCAUAUUUUAUUUACAUGCUUGGUGUGAUGUUGAUUUUGGCUAUACUAUGUAUGUAUUGUGUUGAUGCGAGUAGACGAGCAAGCCACUGUGGAAACUGAGGUUCAACAAGUAGAAGUAGCUGAGCAGGAGCUCAUUGAAGGCAAGUUGUGCCCUUGAUCACUUACUUUCCCAGCCAUGUUCUUAUUAAUUUUAAUGAUCUGCAUAGGAUAAUUUUGAUGGGAGCCUUUAUGUUACCCCAGUUUUGAUUACCUCUAUACCUUGUUCACCCCUGAAAUAUUUUUGGGUAGUACUUGCUAUUGCUUUAUGUGGAUUGGGUAUGGAGAUACACUAUUCAUGAUUAUGCUGUUAUUAACUUGUUAUUAUUAUUGUUCAUGUUAAGAUCAUUAAAUUAAUGGGAACAUGGAGCGACCACCCGGGAAAACAGUGCUACCACAAGGGUAUAAUGGGACGCCCUUGGCUGACUAAUUAGGAAAGCUAGUGGAAGACUACCUUACCCGAAAGGGGCAAGGGCAGUAAGGGAGAGGUCAGUGUGGGGAGGUCCCUGGUUGAUUUUGCUGCGAUGGCUGUCAGCCAGGAACCCUGUACUGGAUCUUCCUAUAAACUGUAGCGGGUUUUCGGAAGCUAGUGGAACUUUGUAAAGGCCUCGUAGUGGAUCCCUAGCCAUUCACCUCGGUAGUGUCUAAGGGCCUUGCAAACCCAGGCGACAUGGGAUACACGACUUGUGGGUAAAGAUGCGCAACCUCUGCAGAGUGUAAAACUAGUAUACUAGCCGUGCUCACGGUCAAGAGCGGCUCGGACCCUCACAUGAUUAAUUAUGGAACUUAAAUUCAAUUUGACAUUUGCAUCGCAUUUGGGAU
rnacentral:lncRNA from 1 species